rnacentral:rRNA from 3 species
GGGUUGUGAGGUUAAGCGACUAAGCGUACACGGUGGAUGCCCUGGCAGUCAGAGGCGAUGAAGGACGUGCUAAUCUGCGAUAAGCGCCGGUAAGGUGAUAUGAACCGUUAUAACCGGCGAUUUCCGAAUGGGGAAACCCAGUGUGACUCGUCACACUAUCAUUAACUGAAUCCAUAGGUUAAUGAGGCGAACCGGGGGAACUGAAACAUCUAAGUACCCCGAGGAAAAGAAAUCAACCGAGAUUCCCCCAGUAGCGGCGAGCGAACGGGGAGGAGCCCAGAGCCUGAAUCAGCAUGUGUGUUAGUGGAAGCGUCUGGAAAGGCGCGCGAUACAGGGUGACAGCCCCGUACAC